rnacentral:rRNA from 1 species
GACGAACGCUGGCGGCGUGCUUAACACAUGCAAGUCGAACGAUGAAGCCGGAGCUUGCUCUGGUGAAUUAGUGGCGAACGGGUGAGUAACACGUGAGUAACCUGCCCUUGACUCUGGGAUAACUGCGGGAAACUGUAGCUAAUACCGGAUACGACCCUCGGAGGCAUCCCCGGGGGGUGGAAAGAAUUUCGGUCAAGGAUGGACUCGCGGCCUAUCAGCUAGUUGGUGAGGUAAAGGCUCACCAAGGCGACGACGGGUAGCCGGCCUAAGAGGGUGACCGGCCACACUGGGACUGAGACACGGCCCAGACUCCUACGGGAGGCAGCAGUGGGGAAUAUUGCACAAUGGGCGCAAGCCUGAUGCAGCAACGCCGCGUGAGGGAUGACGGCCUUCGGGUUGUAAACCUCUUUUAGCAGGGAAGAAGCGAAAGUGACGGUACCUGCAGAAAAAGCACCGGCUAACUACGUGCCAGCCGCCGCCGUAA